GACGAACGCUGGUGGCGUGCUUAACACAUGCAAGUCGAACGGGAUUUAGUAAACAGAAGCCUCGGUGGAAGAUUACUAAUGAGAGUGGCGAACGGGUGAGUAACGCGUGAGCAACCUGCCUAUGACAGUGGGAUAGCCUCGGGAAACCGGGAUUAAUACCGCAUAAAAUCGUAGAAACACAUGUUUUAACGGUCAAAGAUUUAUCGGUCAUAGAUGGGCUCGCGUCUGAUUAGCUAGUUGGUGAGAUAACAGCCCACCAAGGCGACGAUCAGUAGCCGGUCUGAGAGGAUGAACGGCCACAUUGGAACUGAGACACGGUCCAAACUCCUACGGGAGGCAGCAGUGGGGAAUAUUGCACAGUGGGGGAAACCCUGAUGCAGCGACGCCGCGUGAACGAAGAAGGUAUUCGUAUCGUAAAGUUCUGUCCUAUGGGAAGAUAAUGACAGUACCAUAGAAGAAAGCUCCGGCUAAAUACGUG
rnacentral:rRNA from 1 species